rnacentral:tRNA from 1 species
GGCCCUGUAGCUCAGUAGACAGAGCAGUCCCGUCCUAAGGGAAAGGUCGGGGGUGCAAUUCCCUCCAGGGCCGCCA